rnacentral:rRNA from 1 species
UACGUAGGGUGCGAGCGUUAAUCGGAAUUACUGGGCGUAAAGCGUGCGCAGGCGGUUCUCCAAGUCCGUUGUGAAAGCCCCGGGCUCAACCUGGGAAUGGCAGUGGAAACUAGGGGACUGGAAUCUGGCAGAGGGGGGUGGAAUGCCGCGUGUAGCAGUGAAAUGCGUAGAUAUCAGGAGGAACACCGGUGGCGAAGGCGGCUAUCUGGACAGAAACUGACGCUGAGGCGCGAAAGCUAGGGGAGCAAACAGG